CAGUAGCCACGGUAACACGGAGGGUGCAAGCGUUAAUCGGAAUUACUGGGCGUAAAGCGCACGCAGGCGGUCUGACAAGUCAGAUGUGAAAUCCCCGGGCUUAACCUGGGAACUGCAUUUGAAACUGUCAGGCUGGAGUCUUGUAGAGGGGGGUAGAAUUCCAGGUGUAGCGGUGAAAUGCGUAGAGAUCUGGAGGAAUACCGGUGGCGAAGGCGGCCCCCUGGACAAAGACUGACGCUCAGGUGCGAAAGCGUGGGGAGCAAACAGGAUUAGAUACCCCGGUAGUCCCUGUCUCUUAUAC
rnacentral:rRNA from 1 species